rnacentral:rRNA from 1 species
CAAGUUUGAUCCUGGCUCAGAUUGAACGCUGGCGGCAUGCUUUACACAUGCAAGUCGAACGGCAGCGCGGGGAGCUUGCUCCCUGGCGGCGAGUGGCGCACGGGUGAGUAAUACAUCGGAACGUGUCUUCUAGUGGGGGAUAACUGCCCGAAAGGGCAGCUAAUACCGCAUGAGACCUGAGGGUGAAAGCGGGGGAUCGCAAGACCUCGCGCUGGAAGAGCGGCCGAUGUCCGAUUAGCUA